rnacentral:rRNA from 1 species
UACGUAGGGCGCAAGCGUUGUCCGGAAUCAUUGGGCGUAAAGAGCUCGUAGGUGGUGUGUUACGUCUGCUGUGAAAUCCUAGGGCUUAACCCUGGGCCUGCAGUGGAUACGGGCAGACUAGAGGUAGGUAGGGGAGAAUGGAAUUCCCGGUGUAGCGGUGAAAUGCGCAGAUAUCGGGAGGAACACCGGUGGCGAAGGCGGUUCUCUGGGCCUUACCUGACACUGAGGAGCGAAAGCGUGGGGAGCGAACAGG